UUUAUGUUGUUAAAUUCGUUAGUGUUGUGUCUUAUCUUUAUUCGUGUGCUGCAAUGACAAGUCAAAUUUCAUUACACCAUUUGGUGCAUGUGAUAAUAAAUGUCCUUUGUAUCCUUUGUACCCUUCUUCAGAC